GAUGUGAGAUACACAGUGUGUGAUAAGAAUAGUUUGCAACAAAUAACAUUGUUUAUGUGUUCCUUAUUGUAAGUAUUUGGGAAUUACGUGUUUUCUACUUUUAUAAACUGCUUUCUGUUGUUGCAAUUUUCAGAUCUUUUAAUAUCCUGAUCUCGUUGUUUUAGUUGACUUUCACACACGUUUUAAUGGUACACCUCGUUCUUCUUUAAGAAUUUUCCUUUUACCAUUACUUCACGACGUCUCAUUCUUUCUAUUUUGCACUCCACUUAUAUCGCUCGCGUUUUCCAUUUUUCUUAUCCUCUUCCUGUUCAAUCUAAUCGCUGGCUUAUGAUCGCGGACGGUUUAGGUUUGCGAUAAUUUGGUCUUUUUGCGCAUGAGGAACACGUCAGUUGCAUCCGUGCCGUGUUAUUUCGUUCACAUCCUUUUUCCACUUUUGUUUCUUCUGCUUCUUCUCAAGUUAGACGAUUUCGCUGAUGUUAAACGUUCGUCGAUCGUGUUAUUUGUAUUUUUGCAAUUCUCUUUGCUUUCCACUUUUUACAGAAUUUGUUAUUGUUUCUAUGAGCUUUUCCUUUUUCAAAAUCGCUCGACGCUGAUUUCUCUAGCUCGAUCACAGGUUUUUCGUUUUCUUACUUGUUUGAAGUGUUAUGGUAACUGUAGCUGUGUGUUACGAAGUCCACGAGGAAAACGUAGCAGCAGGAAAUUCAGGAAGAACUGCUUCGUGUUCAAUGUUUUGGAAUUAUCCUUGAACAUAGUGCAGAUAACAAUCAAUAGACAAGUAUAAAAAACCAUUGUCCAGUUAUUAGUAUUGUAUUUUAUUCUGAUUCUCCAAACAAUGAAGAAUUUUAACAUAUACUUGUUAAGUCUGGCUAUUUUACCAUGUCAGUAAAUUUCCACUUCAUUAUUGUUUAACAAAAUAACAUAAUGGCGAAUUAAAACAUAACAAUGAAUUAAUAAUCAAAAUAUUGUAAUUUCAUAGUCACAAAAUCUUUUAACUAAUCAUAGAUAGAUUUAUCUGUAUUUUAAAACAAUCCAAAUUUUGGAAAAAAAUAAAAAUUCAGUCUUUCCUUUAUCUGUCUUAGAAUAUAUUCAAAACGUGUUCAAUUUACUCGAUAAACGACACGAUUCUUGAGAUAAGGUUUUUACUGGCACGCUCUCGUCAGCAGCAUUGCGAUUGAUGAAGUCGAUUUGAAGGUUAGCUCGAUACGUGACGUGACGUCGUAAAGCAGCAGCACAAGAAAGCUGGUGUGUAUACACGGUGGAACGUAAAGGGCCGACGUUCGUGGACGAACGAAAGCGUGCAAUGAAACUGGCCGCCUACUCUCUUCGUAAGUAACGCGAAAUGUGCCGUAAAACUGGCGAAAUGGCGAAAACACGGCAACCAAUUCGACUAGCAGCGAUUCCUUACAAUUGCUUCUGCACUUUUUUGCAUUAGCCCUGAUUUAUGCUAAAUUACCUAAUUUGUAAUAUUUCGGGGCAUUAUUCAGACUUCAUUUUAUUGUAACAGACUUUGUGGUACGUCCGAUUUCUUAUUUACAAUACGAUUUCAUCACUGUGUCUAAUUUUUAAAAGUUCCAACAUCAGAUGAUCUCAAUUUUCUUCUUUAGUUAUUUGUCCUUAUUUUCUCGAUUUUUCAAGAUUUGUUCAUAUCUAUGGUUUUAUUACUUUUCUAUAACUUAAAUCGUAAUGAAAUUUUCAAUAGGUACAGAAGCCAUGACAAUUCUGUGAGAUAAGGCAAUUGUUAAAAGAUCAUAUAUAUAUAUGUAUUCUGUUGUUAGAGAAGAUUUUGUAGUAUAAAAUAGUGAUUCGAGAGAAGUUCCAAUAGUUCCAAGAUUUUUUGAUAUCUAAAGUUUCAUUACUUUUUUAUGACUUAAAUCGUAACGAAAUUUUCUGUUGAAAAUGACAACGGAGUUCGCGCCCGCCAUCCAUAUGCAGAUGCGUUAAUUACAAUAAUUAGUAACUAGAAGGUACUUCUAGAUAUAAUCGAUGGAUUUAAUCGAUAGGUUUAAGAUAUUCUUUUGUUUUUAUUCCUAGCCCAUGUAAGAAAGUGUAAUAAAGGUUUUUCAACUCAGAACGGUGUGAUAGAUUCAUCCAAAGAAUAAAAUAAUAGCUAUUGCGAUCCUACCUCUAAAUACAGAAAUAACAACAUGUUCAAUAAAUAUAUUGGAUUGGCAACUAAGUGAUUGCUAAGUGAAGCAUUACCACCUAAUGACAAAAUCCGCUAACCCAAUAGAACCCAUUCUAUAGAAUAGAACAAUUCUGUGAGAUGAGGCAAUUAUCAAAAGAUCAUAUAUACAUAUGUAUUCUGUUGUUAAAGAAGAUUCCUGUAGUAUAAAAUAGUAAUUCUAGAGAAACUCCAAUAGUUCCAUCUAUUCUUACUUUCUAUGAAAUAAGUUGUAAAGAAAUUUUUACCAUUGAAUCUAUGUCGCUUUUAUAACCUGUGGCUAUCUAGAAAAUUAUAUUCUGUUACCAAACAAGUUCCUUUUAAUAAAAGGCAGUGAUUGCAGAAAAAUUCGAAUAAUUCUACCUAUUCAAGCAUUCUCUGUUAUUAGAGGAGGGAAAAAGUGAGUACAUAUACAUACAUGACGAGGUAACGUGUUAGUUUCUAAAACCAGCACGAAUACAGAGAAUUACUACUGUCUCGUGCAGGGGCUUGCUUAUUUGUUCCGUCGUUUUUUCCUCGAGCGUGUUGGCCAAUCCUGCUAUUGAUUACAAGAGAGAAGAAAUCGAGUGGUGUAUGAUAAAUCGGGAGAGCUGACAGCCCCGUGACGCUUGUUUCUUCUCUCUUUCUCCCUUUUCUGUUGGCCUUUUUCUCCUGCUUUUCUCAUGAAGAAGGGUGGUGGUCCACACCGGGCGUCCCCAUAGAGAUUCCAUGGACCCCCGGAACGCAUUAUGGAAGCAUCGAGGGAAAAAGCACAGCUAUUGUGCUCUGCUGGCCAACCAAAAAACUUCACCAACCAAAAUCUCUCGAAAUCUCCCUCCAUUUUGCUCCGCCCAUCUCGUUAUUUCGGUUAAGAAGCUGCCUCUCCUCUGGAAUUGCGUUACAUCCGUUGGACGAAAGUUUUAUUCGACGAACGCAGAUUGAUAGAUUGUGAGACAAGACAACGUAAUGCAGAUAUACACCAGAAAGGGAUUCACUAAAAACAAAUCCAUUUGUCGUUGAAUUAAUUGUACAGUAUGCCAAGUAACAUAUCGAAUAUUCUUGCAAGUAUCGUUACCAGCAGCUGCCAACAUUUUCAAGAGGAUUCUGCUUUUCUUUCACACGUUUCACAAAAAAAGCUGGGACUGAAAGAAUGUCAAGAGGAACUGAACAAAGGUUCUGAGCUACUUUACAUAAAAACACAAUGUACUUGAAGAUACCUGUCGCUGGAGAGAAUUCAGUAAAAUAAGUAAAAAGAUAAAAAGAUACGCAAUGUUUUUCGAAUGGUAUCAGGUGGGAUAACGUCGUAUCGAUAACGCCGAUGGCAGUCACGGUUCCUUAAUCUAAAACCUUCGGCCGGAGAUCGUUAGAUUCUAUUGCCGCGUGGAAAUCGCGGAUAAGGAACGCGGGACCGGAAGCUCGUGGCGGCGAAGGGUAAAGGGGUGAGCGCGGCGAGGGCGGCUCAACGUUUCGUUUGCAUGUCCCGGUGUAAUAAGCGUCACCCCCGGUGACUUCUCGGCCGGCGUUAUUAAUUCGAUUAUAAUGAGCUAUUAAGCGAAACGCUGGUAAUCCUGACAAGCUCCAUUCAACGGGCUAGGCUUAGCUGCUCGAACCCGGCGAUUGCUUGCAACCCUGUUCGCUGUUAAGCAAAUUAUCAGAGAGGGGAACGCUUCGAGCCUCCUACUGCCUUCUUAUCGUAUUUUUACGACACCUUGAUUUCAAUUUUUAAAUCGUUUCCGCAAUGUCUCCGUUCAGGGUAAAGUAAUUCCUCGACGACGGAUUUAGGAUGUUAAGGAUGGCUGACAGGAUCGUUUUUCUGCUUAAUAAAUAAUUGAAAGACUUUUUUCGUGAACUGAGUAAAUUGCGUUUGAAAUAUUAAUUAAUCUACGUUUUUAAUAUUAGAUACCUUUCAAUUGAUAAGUGUAAUGACUCUUAAAGAUGUUCUUUUCAUAUUUAUAAAAUGAAUACAAAUUUGUAUAAUAAUUCAACUAUUCCAUUAGAAAAUGUAUAUAUCUAGGUUGCGUUUGAAAUAUUAAUUAAUCUGGCUUUUUAAUAUUAGAUACCUUUCAAUUGAUAAGUGUAAUGACUCUUGAAGAUGUUCUUUUCAUAUUUAUAAAAUGAAUACAAAUUUGUAUAAUAGUUCAACUAUUCCAUUAGAAAAUUUAUAUAUCUAUGUAGUUAUUUAUAGUAAUUUAUAUAGGUAGGACUUUUUCUCAGAUAAUUUCUCAAUUAUAAGAGUAUAAAGUAUUUCGUUACUAGACAUUGGUAUUUAUUAUUGGUACGAUACAGAAAAUAUUAUAUUAAUGUAUAUAGCGGGGAAAAUUGAUGCUGAGUAAAUGUGUAGUUUAACACUUUGACUGCCACGCCGAAAUCACAUGUUUCGCUGAGGAUAUCACGGGUAUAUUUUUAUUAUUCAAAGCAUAUAAUGGCAAAAUAAUAAUAAAUUGAUGAUGUAAGACAACAUUCUUCCCCAAUGGACCGUUUAUCUUAUUGGUGGUCACGGGUGAGCACCGUGGCGCCUUGCUAACAGUUGAUAGCGACAUAUAAUAACAAUGCUUCGUUUCUUUCAACAAACCAUUCGCAUUCGUUGUUUCGUCGUAAACAAAACGUGCAGAAUUGACUAUUUUAUUUCUUUAGUGAGGUCAGUGGGAUGUUUU